rnacentral:RNase_P_RNA from 1 species
CAGCACACUCGUCUUGCCGCUGGUGGAAACACUAGAGGAAAGUCCGAACCUCAAAAAGACAAAACGCUGGGGAAAGCCCAGGGAGAUGUGAGAGCAUUUUACGGAAAGUGCAACAGAAAGUGUACCGCUUGCGAAAGUAAGUAAGGGUGAAAAGGUGGUGUAAGAGACUACCGCAAAUUCAGCAAUGAAUUUGGCAUUGAAAACCCCGUUUGAGGCAAGCCCAAGUAGGACUGCAAACGCCCGUCUUUUGGCAGCAGUUGGGUUGGGUGCUAUGACACGUAAGUAAUUAUGUGUCCAGAUAAAUGGCAAGACCUGCUUUGCAGGACAGAAUUUGGCUUAUAGGGUGUGCUUUAUA